rnacentral:rRNA from 1 species
UACGUAGGGUGCGAGCGUUGUCCGGAAUUAUUGGGCGUAAAGAGCUCGUAGGCGGUCUGACAAGUCGGAUGUGAAAGCCCGGGGCUUAACUCCGGGUCUGCAUUCGAUACGGGCAGACUAGAGUGUGGUAGGGGAGAUCGGAAUUCCUGGUGUAGCGGUGAAAUGCGCAGAUAUCAGGAGGAACACCGGUGGCGAAGGCGGUUCUCUGGGCCAAUACUGACGCUGAGGAGCGAAAGCGUGGGGAGCGAACAGG